CGGGCUGCAGCUCGUAUACAUCAUACUUAAAUCUUAUUGGACGUUAUCAAGUUAUGUUUGAGGAUAAUGACACUAAACUUUAAGACAUCACAUGACAAAUAUUAUUCUCAAAUGAAACUGGGAAGGGCGAGGUUCUACCGAGCCCUUCCACAGUUUUGCGCCGAGUUAAAAAAAGUUUAUAUUUUUAUGACAUUGACCUAUAAAUAUUGUUUUUAUACGCAACUUUAACAAAUACAUUGAUAGCUUUUUAAAUAGUAACACAAUUGUCAAACUUAUUUUUAUCCCUUAAUGAACCCCUGGUUGUAGAGAAAGUGUUCCAUGAUGAAAUUGACAUUUCACAAAAUAUAGCUAUGUUACUAUAUUUAGGAAAUAACCACAACUAGUGCAGUAAAAAAAAAUAUGAUGUGUGUGAGUGGAGGGAAUUCGAUAAAGUGAAAAGGUCAAAGGCUGAACGUUUUUACCAAUCUGGGAAAAUUCAAAUUGAAAUAAGACGUGCAAUUAUAUAGUCAAGAAUUUUGAUUAUAACUUGUGCUUCAUUUUAAUAAUUUUAUGCACUUAAACUUUUGAAGA
rnacentral:lncRNA from 1 species